rnacentral:rRNA from 1 species
GGAGGGGUGCAAGCGUUGUUCGGAAUUACUGGGCGUAAAGAGCGCGUAGGCGGGCCUCUUAUGUCAGGGUGUGAAAGCCCUCGGCCCAACCGAGGAAGUGCGCCUGAAACUGAGUGGCUUGAGUACGAGAGAGGAGGACGGAAUUCCCAGUGUAGAGGUGAAAUUCGUAGAUAUUGGGAAGAACACCGGUGGCGAAAGCGGUUCUCUGGAUCGAUACUGACGCUAAGGCGCGAAAGCGUGGGGAGCAAACAGGAUUAGAUACCCUGGUAGUCCACGCUGUAAACGAUGGAUAUUAGUUGUCGCGGGCUUAUAAACUCGCAGUGACGACGCUAACGCAUUAAAUAUCCCGCCUGGGGAUUACGGCCGCAAGGUUA